rnacentral:sRNA from 2 species
GAAAUAUCGUCCGCUCUGCGAUGCGCUGGUAACGCAAAGGCAAUUCAAAUUCCUUCCACACCCUUGAGGAGAUAAUAUCAAGGAUCCAUACAAACGAAUUCGAGAAAGGAGCAAAUCAAGCGUUUGAUUGUAAGCUAGGUUGUUUAAAAUCAAUAUCAACAUCAACGCUCCCAUCUAGAAAUAUUCCAUCCCUGUACUCUCAAGUGUUAUAAAUGCGCAUUAAAACCGUAUAUGCCCAGUAUACGCGGACAAGUGAAAGGAAUAGAUAGUCGUUUGAAAAUAACCCUUUAUGGAAAUGCAGUUGUAAAAAUGAUACAU